UUCUAUUCCUAUCUCUUGCUUUAUAAACUAUUUAUGUUGGUGGUGAAGCAAAACUCCUGGUGGGUUGUAUUCUGGCUCUCUGGAGUUGUAAUUUUUUUAUAUCACUUACUUUGCCUUUCAUGUCAGCUUUUUUGAGUGGCUUUUCUUGCCUGGUUUUCCACAAUUUCUGUUGGAGAUGGAGUAGCCUUACCACCAUUCCCACACUUAUUCCCACCUGCAUUAAACUGGCUAGAGAUUGGACACCUUUUCUUAGUGCUGAUUUGCUUCAUAUCUAGAAGGCAUAUCUGAAAUUCCUUCUCACCUCAUGAAUAUCAAAAUUCAGAGGCUAAUAAAUAUCACGUCAACUUAAGGAAUCAUCCUGCUCUAUUUUAGAGAUGGAGACUCAGGCUGCAAAUGAUAGCAGAAAAAGUUAUCAUCAUUUCAAAAGGUUAAAAUAGGUCAAUGUGAAUCAAAGCACAAAUUGUUAUAGGUCUUUGGUCUUUUUCUGUCUGCCUAAUGAAUUCUUCUAUUUUAUUAUCUUUAUAUGCUACAAAAGUCCAUUUCCCCCAAAAACUCAUGAAAAUUAUGGAGGAAGAAUCAGCCCAGCAAUAUAGCUCUAGUAAUUAUCUCAUAUUAUCUCAUAUUCUGUGGCACUUUUAAGUGGGAUAAACAUUCCAACUUCAUCCAUUCUAUUACUGUUACAGUACAUAACUUUAUAGCACUUACUGAGGCCACAUUUUGAUGAAGUCCAUCUAAGGCCCUAAACCCAAGGAAAUGAGAGAUGAAGCAAGACCAUUUAAGCCGUCAUGAGUGGCUGGCUAAAUAAAAAGCUGUUAGAUUUGGGGAGGUAGCCAAACACUUCUACUACUGUGGUUUAAACAUACAGCUUAAUGGAGAGGGAGAUCAUCUGCUUUUUCUGGGGCAGUGGAACAAGAACACCUUGGAUCUUAGAACUACACUGGUUGUAAUGUAUUAAUGAAUUAUCACUAGAGAACUCCCAUAGCUUAUCAAUAUAUCUGGUUUAGUGUGUAUGCAUGUGUAUAUA
rnacentral:lncRNA from 1 species